rnacentral:rRNA from 1 species
GAUGAACGCUGGCGGUAUGCUUAACACAUGCAAGUCGAACGGGAUGCUUAGGCAUCUAGUGGCGGACGGGUGAGUAACGCGUGAGAAUCUGGCUCCAGGUCGGGGAUAACAGUUGGAAACGACUGCUAAUACCGGAUGUGCCGAGAGGUGAAAGAUUUAUCGCCUGGAGAUGAGCUCGCGUCUGAUUAGCUAGUUGGCGGUGUAAGGGACCACCAAGGCGUCGAUCAGUAGCUGGUCUGAGAGGAUGAUCAGCCACACUGGGACUGAGACACGGCCCAGACUCCUACGGGAGGCAGCAGUGGGGAAUUUUCCGCAAUGGGCGAAAGCCUGACGGAGCAAUACCGCGUGAGGGAGGAAGGCUCUUGGGUCGUAAACCUCUUUUCUCAAGGAAGAAGAAAGUGACGGUACUUGAGGAAUAAGCAUCGGCUAACUCCGUGCCAGCAGCCGCGGUAAUACGGAGGAUGCAAGCGUUAUCCGGAAUGAUUGGGCGUAAAGGGUCUGCAGGUGGAACUGAAAGUCUGCUGUUAAAGAGUUUGGCUUAACCAAAUAAAAGCGGUGGAAACUACAGAACUAGAGUGCGGUAGGGGCAAAAGGAAUUCCUGGUGUAGCGGUGAAAUGCGUAGAUAUCAGGAAGAACACCGGUGGCGAAAGCGUUUUGCUAGACCGUAACUGACACUGAGGGACGAAAGCUAGGGGAGCGAAUGGGAUUAGAUACCCCAGUAGUCCUAGCCGUAAACGAUGGAUACUAGGCGUGGCUUGUAUCGACCCGAGCCGUGCCGGAGCUAACGCGUUAAGUAUCCCGCCUGGGGAGUACGCACGCAAGUGUGAAACUCAAAGGAAUUGACGGGGGCCCGCACAAGCGGUGGAGUAUGUGGUUUAAUUCGAUGCAACGCGAAGAACCUUACCAAGGCUUGACAUCCUGCGAAUCCUGGUGAAAGCUGGGAGUGCCUUAGGGAGCGCAGAGACAGGUGGUGCAUGGCUGUCGUCAGCUCGUGUCGUGAGAUGUUGGGUUAAGUCCCGCAACGAGCGCAACCCUCGUUUUUAGUUGCCAGCAUUAAGUUGGGCACUCUAGAGAGACUGCCGGUGACAAACCGGAGGAAGGUGAGGAUGACGUCAAGUCAGCAUGCCCCUUACGUCUUGGGCUACACACGUACUACAAUGCUACGGACAGAGGGCAGCGAGCCAGGGAUGGCAAGCGAAUCCAGAAACCGUAGCUCAGUUCAGAUCGAAGGCUGCAACUCGCCUUCGUGAAGGAGGAAUCGCUAGUAAUUGCAGGUCAGCAUACUGCAGUGAAUUCGUUCCCGGGCCUUGUACACACCGCCCGUCACACCAUGGAAGUUGGUCACGCCCGAAGUCAUUACCCCAACCGAAAGGAGGGGGAUGCCUAAGGUAGGACUGGUGACUGGGGUGAAGUCGUAACAAGGUAGCCGUACCGGAAGGUGUGGCUGGAUCACCUCCUUU